rnacentral:lncRNA from 1 species
GGUAUGAUGCUAAUAUUGCAGGACAAUGGUCACAAGGUUUUUGGGUACAAUCAGGGCUUUCAGGUGCUAUAUAUGAUUAUGCUUCUAAAGAUAUGACUCAUUAUAACCUUGCCACAGUGUUCCCAGGCCUACAAUCUCCAAACCACUACCUUAGAAUUCAGGUAUUAUAUUUCCUACUCCACUUCCCGAAAAAACGGAUACCCUUAAUAGUACUCAAAAAAAUUAUUAAAUUAAAAGUAUUAGAAAAUACUAGAAAAUACGAAUAGUUAUAGAAGAAAAUUGAUGUUGUGGAUAAUUGUUAUAUAGAAUUAUCAAAAUGUUAAUAUCUUAGUUGGAACUUUUGAUGUUUUAUAAAAUUAAAAUAAAUUAUUUUUUUCUAAAUCGAUUAUGUAUUUAAACAUUUUCCUCGCCUAAUUUAAUAAUCAUUAUUAAUUUUUCGAAAAAACUCUCCACUUUUCAAUGUAUCACUUAUUUUUUAGUAAUUUUUUCAAUACAUAUAUAUGUGGAAUUGGGAUGAAACUACUUUCUCCAUUUUUUUUUGAUGUAUUGUUUUCUCUCUUAGUAAUUGUUUUUAAGAUGACACUAUAAUCUUUGAAUCUUAAUGUGCAGGAUUAUAAUAUGGAUCCAUCAAUGGAUUCUCUUGACAAUGCUACACAAGUAAACAUGGAAAAUCUUGAAAGGGUAGGAAAGAAUUUGCUGAAUGAACAAGUUUUAAGGAUGAAUAUAACCACUUUUGUCCCUGAGAAGGACAAAAAUGACAUUACAAAUGCUAAGGCACUUGAGAGGUGAGUAUAUUAAGUAACUCACAUUUUGUGACUUCUAUCUUAAUAGUUAAUAGUUGAAGUGUUUAACCAUUUUCUAAACUUAGCCAAAAAAAUUAUUACUCUAGUUAUUUUCAGUAUAGUUAAAAUCUAUUUACUUUAACUUAUCACACUAAGGACUAAAUCUGACUCAAUCAUAUAAUUUUUUUGUACUGCCUAGAGUAUUCUCUCCCCUAUGGGUAAGGAACUAAUCAUUUUCGGAGUGUAUAUAUGGAUAUCUUUUCCAAUAAGUGUUACUUCCAAUAAUCGAACAUUUGACCUUUCUGGUCAUCUUGGGGAUUGAACGGGGCAUUACACCACUAGACAAAUUUCUUGUUCGUCAUUAUCUUUUGGACUAAAUUAUUUAAUACCUAGUUGGAAAAAAAAAAUUCAUAAAUCCCUAGAAUAUAAUAGUUUCUAACAAAGCAUGCAAAAAAUAAGAUUGUGAUUUAUGAAAUGCUGAUAAAAGAUGAACUUUAUAUUUAGUAUUGGAGUCUAGUUUCCAACAAAGCAUGCAAAAAAUUGAUUAUUAAUAUUUUAGAAUAUAUUUAAAUUAAUUUGAAAUGCUAGUUUUUUUUAUAUAUGUAUUUUUUUAUUGCAUGAAGAUUGGCAAAGACUCUGCAUAAAGAGAAGCAGCUACGUUUGGAAAAUAAAUUGAUGGAAAAAAGAGGAAGACCAUUUAUUGAAAAUGAUGCAAUCCCUUUGGGUAGAAGCUGGUCAAGUUAGGCAUAUAAUUGUGCUAGAAUAAAUGCUAUUUGCAUGGGUUUGCACUAUAUAUAUCAUGUGAUUUCUAUGUUUGAAGGAAAAUAAAUGUUCCACUAAAUAAAUCUUGGAUAGUGUAUCAAUGUCAAAUUAUUAUGAAAUUGAUUCCUUCUAUUUUAUGGCUUUUUUUAUAUUGUUCCCUUAUUUUUGGUUUGUGUUUUAAGAUUUGUUUUCUUGAUUGAGAGGUUAGUGAAAGACACUAAGUUAAUUACAUAAUAAAGUGCACAACAAGAAAAGAAAUAAAAACACCAUUAAUGAAUAUAUUUAUAUAUCGAUUUAUUAUGGUUGAAUUUUACUAUAUACAAUUGAUAAAGAAAUCUUCACUAAAUUCUUGAGUUCUUAUCAAGAUAUUUUUUUGAUAAGCAAAAGAUUAAAUUAAAAAGGUAGAAGGAGUAUCAACCCAAAUACAAGACACAAAUAAUUAAAAGUGAUUGUCACUGUAAUGUUGUUGAAUACAAAUUCAAGAGUCACAACACCAAAGAACAAAAAUAGAAGAGUUUAAACCAUUUUUAUAACUAAACCAAAUUCAAGAUCUAACUUCAUAUUGAGAUAUCGUUCAUAAAUUUACAAGAAAUGAACUCUGAUAAUUUUUUAAGCUAAAUAAAAUAUUUUUAUCCUACUAACAAUUUUUGUAAUUAUUCUAUGAAAAAAUUAUCAUGAAAGAUUGUCUCAGAACCAGUUUUAUUUCCUUGAUUGUUCGAUUUAGUUAGGAAAUCUUUGUGUGGCCGACAAUUUUAUUUUAAUUAAUUCAAAAAAUUAACUAAUAAGACAUUUGGUUUUUAAAGGUUAUAUUUUAAAUAAAAAUCUAUGAUAAAUAUGGUGGUUACAAAACUCUAUUAUAAAUAGUAGAGUAUGAACUAGAAAAAGGAUGUGCAUAAAAAUUCACUAAAGGAAGAAGAGAAAAGAAAGUGACACAGAAGAGAUAAGGAGAAAAUGUGCAAAUUUUUCAGAAAAAGGAAGAUAGACUAAAAAAGCAUAAUUGCCUUAAAUUCCAUGCUCGAUUAUUGGAUCAUUAUUGCCUUUUCCUAUCACAUAGGAUAAACUUUCCAAUCGGUCAAUAUUGCCUUCAAUUGCCACCACUUGAUAGAUUGUAUUGGAUUCCAUUGUUGAAUAAGAAUCGUGUAAAUGUAUAUUGAUCGAAUGAUUUGAUGAUUACAAAGUGAAGAAAAGAUGAUUAUAUAUAUACAUAAGUUGCUUACAACCCAAAUUAUAUCCUAAAUUUUUUGAAACCCACAACCAAGAUGUAACUUUAAAAGAAUCCAUAAUCUGAAUAAAACUAACUUUGCCCCCCCUAAAAAUAAUAUCAUUUUUUAACUUCCACAAUCGAUUUCUCUUUACCAAUCUUACAAAGGGAAUCAUGAGUCUUAAGCGAUUCCACAAUCAAAUCCGGCAAAGUAAUAUGAAUUUGAAGCUAAGAAUAGAAUUUGUAUGUGAUAAAAAUAAUAAUUUGUAUUUGUAGGCUAUGGCUGCUGUGAGUGAAGUGAUACAACAACUGAAAGAGGAGAAUCCUAGGUUUAAGAGACACACCAAGAUUCUGUUGCUGUCUAUAGGAUGUGGAAUUAAAAAAGCUGAAGGGUAUGAUGCUAAUAUUGCAGGACAAUGGUCACAAGGUUUUUGGGUACAAUCAGGGCUUUCAGGUGCUAUAUAUGAUUAUGCUUCUAAAGAUAUGACUCAUUAUAACCUUGCCACAGUGUUCCCAGGCCUACAAUCUCCAAACCACUACCUUAGAAUUCAGGUAUUAUAUUUCCUACUCCACUUCCCGAAAAAACGGAUACCCUUAAUAGUACUCAAAAAAAUUAUUAAAUUAAAAGUAUUAGAAAAUACUAGAAAAUACGAAUAGUUAUAGAAGAAAAUUGAUGUUGUGGAUAAUUGUUAUAUAGAAUUAUCAAAAUGUUAAUAUCUUAGUUGGAACUUUUGAUGUUUUAUAAAAUUAAAAUAAAUUAUUUUUUUCUAAAUCGAUUAUGUAUUUAAACAUUUUCCUCGCCUAAUUUAAUAAUCAUUAUUAAUUUUUCGAAAAAACUCUCCACUUUUCAAUGUAUCACUUAUUUUUUAGUAAUUUUUUCAAUACAUAUAUAUGUGGAAUUGGGAUG